rnacentral:lncRNA from 1 species
GUGUCAGGGCACACACAGUGGGACUCUGUCCCCUCACGGUGGGACCCAGAAGACUCCCUGGCAUGGUGAGUGCUCCAGAGGCACCAGGGCUGCACCCCAUUGCACAACUACCAUCUGCCCUUCUGCCCUUCCACAGCUCCCCUGGAGUGUGGGGAAGGGCUUUGGUGAGGAAUGAUUUUGAGGGAACUGGUCAAGAGCUGAGGUAGAGCCAGUUCCAGGAGGAAUGCCUGCACCUGGAAGGAAGCAGCAGGACUGCCUAAGGCACUGGCCAGAUUCCCACACCAGCCUCUGCCUCUUCCCCACCAGGCAGAGAAAAGGAAGGGUGCCGCUUCCACCCAGAGCCACCUGCAAGGCCUGCCAGGCAGGGCCUUUCUAACAUGGAGAGCGUGAAGAAGAGCCGGGACAGUGAGCCUGGCACGUCUGGUCAGACAGGAAGAUGACUGUGAGGAAAACUGGUGGAGUGCUAAGUUGGGAAUGUCAUUUCUCCAGCAGGCUCACUUCUCUCAAGGUUGAGAGACAGAGAUGUUUGUAGAGUAGUGUAGGAAACUAUCUGUCCCCCACCCUAGCCCCCGUCCCUGCCUGGAAACCAUGACUCUAAAAGAAUAUGCGAGACAUUUCACCCCCUAUCCAACCAAAGGUCGGCUGUACAACCUUUCCAAAUGUCACUCCAACCACUGCUGGCAGAACCCCGGAGAUGCCAAGCACCUCGGUUCUGCUGUCGACUCUCACCCCAAGCUGCAGGGGGGUUUUGUUUGUUUUGUUUUUUGUCUUUUUUGUUUUUCUGCAGGAGCUAACGAAAUUCUUUGUGCACAGCCUGAGGAGUUGGCUUUCUGAGCCUUGGAGCUGCUGGUGUGGGACUCUGGUGUUUUUCCUGCCUUCCUGGGCUCCAAGACAUCCUAAGGAGAAAACCCCAUGCUCAGACACUUAGGCAGGACAGUUCCAGGACACUGGGAUUAAGCGGUGGUACCCGGCAGUUUCCUCAGACAGGUCGGGGCACUGCAUCCACUGCUGCUGUUAACCCGGGAGGUCCAGCGCCUGGCUCCUGGGGGUCCAGCUUGGCUGCCUUUUCCUAGGCCCCCCUCAGGCCUUGGCUCUUACAAUAGACUGCCACUUCUGGGACCCUUGCCUGAGUCUGGCUUCAUCUUUCUGAGGGUUCCCUUCACUGCCCCCUGGUGGCACAUCCAAGAAAGAAGCCCUGCCACUGGACAGGUAGCAACUAUGCCUGCUGUACCUGGCAAGAACGGGCUUGUUGAAGAGCCACAGAAGCUAACCCUGCUCUGCUCUGCGCUGCUCUGCUCUGAGGACCAGCACCUUCAUACCCCACUACCACCCUCCCUCCGUAGCCCUUGCUAACCUGGGGUUGCUGCUCUCACCACAUCCUGCACAGAGCCUCCCACACGUCAUUGUCCCUGUAAGCAAGGGAUCUUAGGCUGUCCUGCCUUGGGGGACUCCCACACUAGUGAGGUCAGAGGGCAGCUUGCCCAAGUUCAUUCCCUCCUACCAUUGGAGUCCCAGUCAGACUCAAGGCCUCCCACCACUGGCCCAGCAGAAAGUUGUGUGUGUGUUUGAGACCUGGUCUCUGUGUAGCCCUGGCUAUCCUGGAACUUGCUAUGUAGACCAGGCUGGCUUCGAAUUCAGAGAUCCACCCAUCCCUGUCUCCAGUGCUGGAAUGAAAAAUGAGCACCACCAUGCCCAGUAGAGUCUCCGCUCUCAUCUUGUCAAAUGUCCCUGAGAUCUCGAGCUGAAAUGAGGACAGUAUAAACUAAUUCUAAGCACUUGUCACAAAAGCAAGGGUGGUGGCAGUCAGAGGCUGAGUAACAGGGCGUGGGGCUGGCAGCAGGGUGCAGGGCCAGCAUCCUCGAGAAGUGCCUUUCCUGCAGGGUUGUGGCUCAGGUAGUCAUUCCCAAGAACUCAUUGGCUCUAGGCUUUGAGCCCCUGGCAGGCACUUAGAGGGGAGGAAAUGCCUGUGGCUAGCUCAGGCUGGGCCAAGGGAGUUUCCACCAUCCCUCCCAGUUCCAGCAGCAGUGAGAUCCCAGGGCCUCUGGCCACAUUGGGCCACAACAGCAGCUUCAUUCCUAGGCGACGGUCUGAGUCACCAUCUGUGGGCUCUGGCUCCUCACCAGCUGGGCUUGCAGCCUUAAGUUUGCCACAGUUUGGCCUCAGCUGAGUCUCCAUCACCACUUCGGCCAUUUUUCUCUGCUGUUUCCUUUCUUUAAGCAGAAAUGUGAUGCAAAUGGGUUCCAGGUCUGUGCCUGCUGUCACCCGCACACACUUCCAGGGCUGAUGUCAUGGGUUAGAUUCUGGUGGUGCCAGGUCAGAGGCCCC